rnacentral:rRNA from 1 species
AUUGAACGCUGGCGGCAUGCUUUACACAUGCAAGUCGAACGGCAGCACGGACUUCGGUCUGGUGGCGAGUGGCGAACGGGUGAGUAAUGUAUCGGAACGUGCCCAGUCGUGGGGGAUAACGUAGUGAAAAUUACGCUAAUACCGCAUACGAUCUAUGGAUGAAAGCGGGGGAUCGCAAGACCUCGCGCGAUUGGAGCGGCCGAUAUCAGAUUAGGUAGUUGGUGGGGUAAAGGCCCACCAAGCCAACGAUCUGUAGCUGGUCUGAGAGGACGACCAGCCACACUGGAACUGAGACACGGUCCAGACUCCUACGGGAGGCAGCAGUGGGGAGUUUUGGACAAUGGGCGAAAGCCUGAUCCAGCCAUUCCGCGUGCAGGAUGAAGGCCCUCGGGUUGUAAACUGCUUUUGUACAGAACGAAAAGGUUUCUACUAAUACUAGGAGCUCAUGACAGUACUGUAAGAAUAAGCACCGGCUAACUACGUGCCAGCCGCCGCGGUAA